rnacentral:rRNA from 1 species
AUGUCAAAUCAUCAUGCCCCUUAUGUCUUGGGCUACACACGUGCUACAAUGGCGCAAACAAAGGGAAGCCAUGCCGCGAGGCAGAGCAAAACCCCAAAGGGCGCCUCAGUUCGGAUUGCAGGCUGCAACUCGCCUGCAUGAAGUUGGAAUCGCUAGUAAUCGCAGAUCAGCAUGCUGCGGUGAAUACGUUCCCGGGCCUU